rnacentral:rRNA from 1 species
AGGUGGAGUGAUUUGUCUGGUUAAUUCCGUUAACGAACGAGACCUCAGCCUAUUAAAUAGUAUUGUCAUUUAUGGAAACAUAGGCAAAGACUUCUUAAAGGGACAUGUUGGGUUUACCAGCGGGAAGUUUGAGGCAAUAACA